GAUGAACGCUGGCGGCGUGCUUAACACAUGCAAGUCGAACGGAAAGGCCCUUGCUUGCAGGGGUACUCGAGUGGCGAACGGGUGAGUAACACGUGGGUGAUCUGCCCUGCACUUCGGGAUAAGCCUGGGAAACUGGGUCUAAUACCGGAUAGGACGAUGGUUUGGAUGCCAUUGUGGAAAGUUUUUCGGUGUGGGAUGAGCUCGCGGCCUAUCAGCUUGUUGGUGGGGUAAUGGCCUACCAAGGCGUCGACGGGUAGCCGGCCUGAGAGGGUGUACGGCCACAUUGGGACUGAGAUACGGCCCAGACUCCUACGGGAGGCAGCAGUGGGGAAUAUUGCACAAUGGGCGCAAGCCUGAUGCAGCGACGCCGCGUGGGGGAUGACGGCCUUCGGGUUGUAAACUCCUUUCGUCAGGGACGAAGCGAAAGUGACGGUACCUGGAUAAGAAGCACCGGCUAACUACGUGCCAGCAGCCGCGGUAAUACGUAGGGUGCGAGCGUUGUC
rnacentral:rRNA from 1 species